rnacentral:rRNA from 1 species
AGUGGCGCACGGGUGCGUAACGCGUGGGAAUCUGCCCUUAGGUACGGAAUAACUCAGGGAAACUUGAGCUAAUACCGUAUGAUGUCUUCGGACCAAAGAUUUAUCGCCUAGGGAUGAGCCCGCGUUGGAUUAGCUAGUUGGUGGGGUAAAGGCCUACCAAGGCGACGAUCCAUAGCUGGUCUGAGAGGAUGAUCAGCCACACUGGGACUGAGGCACGGCCCAGACUCCUACGGGAGGCAGCAGUGGGGAAUAUUGGACAAUGGGCGAAAGCCUGAUCCAGCAAUGCCGCGUGAGUGAUGAAGGCCUUAGGGUUGUAAAGCUCUUUUACCCGGGAAGAUAAUGACUGUACCGGGAGAAUAAGCCCCGGCUAACUCCGUGCCAGCAGCCGCGGUAAUACGGAGGGGGCUAGCGUUGUUCGGAAUUACUGGGCGUAAAGCGCACGUAGGCGGCUUUGUAAGUUAGAGGUGAAAGCCCGGGGCUCAACCCCGGAAUUGCCUUUAAGACUGCAUCGCUUGAACGUCGGAGAGGUGAGUGGAAUUCCGAGUGUAGAGGUGAAAUUCGUAGAUAUUCGGAAGAACACCAGUGGCGAAGGCGGCUCACUGGACGACUGUUGACGCUGAGGUGCGAAAGCGUGGGGGGCAAACAGGAUUAGAUACCCUGGUAGUCCACGCCGUAAACGAUGAUAACUAGCUGUCCGGG